rnacentral:rRNA from 1 species
CCGGCGCACUGGUGAGUAACACGUAUGCAACCUGGCCGUCACAGGUGGAUAACCGGAAGAAAUUCCGACUAAUACAGCAUAACACUCCUGAGGGACAUCCUUCGGGAGUCAAAGGAGGCAACUCCGGUGACGGAUGGGCAUGCGGCGCAUUAGGUAGUUGGUAGGGUAACGGCCUACCAAGCCGACGAUGCGUAGGGGUUCUGAGAGGAAGGUCCCCCACAUUGGAACUGAGACACGGUCCAAACUCCUACGGGAGGCAGCAG